AGUCCAACGAUUUGGACACGAUGCCGCAACUCACGGUCGGCCGGGUCGACAGCAAGAGCGCGAAUCCCACGGCGACCACCGGCUCGCCUGCGGACAAACGCCACGUACUUCACCGGGGUGGAGAACGCCAGCGAGCGAGUGUGCGGAAGGUAUCGUCGUUGGGGAAUCAUGAGGGAAGGAGCCCGGUCGAGGCUGGACUGCGGAUCCGGGGAAAUUUUGCGAUUGUCACGACGUUAAUCAGUCGACAAUGGGGAAACUUGAUGAAAAUUGAGAAAAAGGCACCGCAUAUAUGUAACCGUAUAUAUCCCCUCCGAAAAGUUUGAUUCAGCCUUACCUCUUCGAUGACGUGUGAACACGUCAGGAAUGUUCCGGUGUCUUUAUCAACGAGAACGCCAGUGCCUUUAUUGAUCCCGCAGAGGACGAAAAUUUUACGGGAAGGAACGUAAGACAACGUUUUACGAACCACUUGGCUUAUCGUGACGUAUGGUGGACUUGAUCGAAGGCAGA